rnacentral:rRNA from 1 species
GAGUUUGAUCCUGGCUCAGAUUGAACGCUGGCGGCAUGCCUUACACAUGCAAGUCGAACGCGAAAGCGGGGCAACCCGCAAGUAGAGUGGCGAACGGGUGAGUAAUACAUCGGAACAUAUCCAGUAGCGGGGGAUAACCUGUCGAAAGAUAGGCUAAUACCGCAUACGACCUACGGGUGAAAGCGGAGGACCGCAAGGCUUCGCACUAUUGGAGUGGCCGAUGUCGGAUUAGCUAGUUGGUGAGGUAAAAGCUCACCAAGGCGACGAUCCGUAGCUGGUCUGAGAGGACGACCAGCCACACUGGAACUGAGACACGGUCCAGACUCCUACGGGAGGCAGCAGUAAGGAAUAUUGGUCAAUGGACGAAAGUCUGAACCAGCCAUGCCGCGUGGAGGAUGAAGGUCCUCUGGAUUGUAAACUUCUUUUAUUUGGGACGAAAAAGGGAAUUCUUUUCCACUUGACGGUACCAGAUGAAUAAGCACCGGCUAACUCCGUGCCAGCAGCCGCCGUAAC